GAUGAACGCUGGCGGCGUGCCUAAUACAUGCAAGUCGAGCGAACAGACGAGGAGCUUGCUCCUCUGACGUUAGCGGCGGACGGGUGAGUAACACGUGGAUAACCUACCUAUAAGACUGGGAUAACUUCGGGAAACCGGAGCUAAUACCGGAUAAUAUAUUGAACCGCAUGGUUCAAUAGUGAAAGACGGUUUUGCUGUCACUUAUAGAUGGAUCCGCGCCGCAUUAGCUAGUUGGUAAGGUAACGGCUUACCAAGGCAACGAUGCGUAGCCGACCUGAGAGGGUGAUCGGCCACACUGGAGCUGAGACACGGUCCAGACUCCUACGGGAGGCAGCAGUAGGGAAUCGUCCGCAAUGGGCGAAAGCCUGACGGAGCAACGCCGCGUGAGUGAUGAAGGUCUUCGGAUCGUAAAGCUCUGUUAUUAGGGAAGAACAAAUGUGUAAGUAACUAUGCACGUCUUGACGGUACCUAAUCAGAAAGCCACGGCUAACUACGUG
rnacentral:rRNA from 1 species